GAUGAACGCUGGCGCGCUUGCCUAAUACAUGCAAGUCGAGCGAACGGACGAGAAGCUUGCUUCUCUGAUGUUAGCGGCGGACGGGUGAGUAACACGUGGAUAACCUACCUAUAAGACUGGGAUAACUUCGGGAAACCGGAGCUAAUACCGGAUAAUAUUUUGAACCGCAUGGUUCAAAAGUGAAAGACGGUCUUGCUGUCACUUAUAGAUGGAUCCGCGCUGCAUUAGCUAGUUGGUAAGGUAACGGCUUACCAAGGCAACGAUGCAUAGCCGACCUGAGAGGGUGAUCGGCCACACUGGAACUGAGACACGGUCCAGACUCCUACGGGAGGCAGCAGUAGGGAAUCUUCCGCAAUGGGCGAAAGCCUGACGGAGCAACGCCGCGUGAGUGAUGAAGGUCUUCGGAUCGUAAAACUCUGUUAUUAGGGAAGAACAUAUGUGUAAGUAACUGUGCACAUCUUGACGGUACCUAAUCAGAAAGCCACGGCUAACUACGUGCCAGCAGCCGCGGUAAUACGUAGGUGGCAAGCGUUAUCCGGAAUUAUUGGGCGUAAAGCGCGCGUAGGCGGUUUUUUAAGUCUGAUGUGAAAGCCCACGGCUCAACCGUGGAGGGUCAUUGGAAACUGGAAAACUUGAGUGCAGAAGAGGAAAGUGGAAUUCCAUGUGUAGCGGUGAAAUGCGCAGAGAUAUGGAGGAACACCAGUGGCGAAGGCGACUUUCUGGUCUGUAACUGACGCUGAUGUGCGAAAGCGUGGGGAUCAAACAGGAUUAGAUACCCUGGUAGUCCACGCCGUAAACGAUGAGUGCUAAGUGUUAGGGGGUUUCCGCCCCUUAGUGCUGCAGCUAACGCAUUAAGCACUCCGCCUGGGGAGUACGACCGCAAGGUUGAAACUCAAAGGAAUUGACGGGGACCCGCACAAGCGGUGGAGCAUGUGGUUUAAUUCGAAGCAACGCGAAGAACCUUACCAAAUCUUGACAUCCUUUGACAACUCUAGAGAUAGAGCCUUCCCCUUCGGGGGACAAAGUGACAGGUGGUGCAUGGUUGUCGUCAGCUCGUGUCGUGAGAUGUUGGGUUAAGUCCCGCAACGAGCGCAACCCUUAAGCUUAGUUGCCAUCAUUAAGUUGGGCACUCUAAGUUGACUGCCGGUGACAAACCGGAGGAAGGUGGGGAUGACGUCAAAUCAUCAUGCCCCUUAUGAUUUGGGCUACACACGUGCUACAAUGGACAAUACAAAGGGCAGCGAAACCGCGAGGUCAAGCAAAUCCCAUAAAGUUGUUCUCAGUUCGGAUUGUAGUCUGCAACUCGACUACAUGAAGCUGGAAUCGCUAGUAAUCGUAGAUCAGCAUGCUACGGUGAAUACGUUCCCGGGUCU
rnacentral:rRNA from 1 species